rnacentral:rRNA from 1 species
CCACACUGGGACUGAGACACCCAGACUCCUACGGGAGGCAGCAGUAGGGAAUCUUCGGCAAUGGACGGAAGUCUGACCGAGCAACGCCGCGUGAGUGAAGAAGGUUUUCGGAUCGUAAAGCUCUGUUGUAAGAGAAGAACGAGUGUGAGAGUGGAAAGUUCACACUGUGACGGUAUCUUACCAGAAAGGGACGGCUAACUACGUGCCAGCAGCCGCGGUAAUACGUAGGUCCCGAGCGUUGUCCGGAUUUAUUGGGCGUAAAGCGAGCGCAGGCGGUUAGAUAAGUCUGAAGUUAAAGGCUGUGGCUUAACCAUAGUAGGCUUUGGAAACUGUUUAACUUGAGUGCAAGAGGGGAGAGUGGAAUUCCAUGUGUAGCGGUGAAAUGCGUAGAUAUAUGGAGGAACACCGGUGGCGAAAGCGGCUCUCUGGCUUGUAACUGACGCUGAGGCUCGAAAGCGUGGGGAGCAAACAGGAUUAGAUACCCUGGUAGUCCACGCUGUAAACGAUGAGUGCUAGGUGUUAGACCCUUUCCGGGGUUUAGUGCCGUAGCUAACGCAUUAAGCACUCCGCCUGGGGAGUACGACCGCAAGGU